AUCUCUUUGGAGACAUUCGAUAAAAUUGGAAUGAUACAGUAAAGAUUAGUAUUUUUCUUGUGCAAGGAUAACACGCAUAAAUCGAGAAAUGGUCCAAAAUUUU